GGGCAGACAGGGCUCAACCACAGUGGCAUUUGGACAGACUGGGAGGAGGUGAGGGUGCAGCCCUGCCACCAUCUGAGGGAACAGCAUUCCAGGGAGAGGAUAGAGCAUGUGCAGAGGACCUGAGGCAGGAGCAGCCUGGUGAUUUUAAGGGGCAGAGCGAGGGAGCCGGGGGGCAGGGGAGGAGGUCAGAGGGUUCAGGGCCAGAAGACAGACCUUGUGUGGGCUUCCAGCUUCCAGCACAGGGGGAACCAGAGGAGAGCCCUUGUGGGGUUUGGAGCAGAGAUGCUCGCUCAGCGUGUUGAGAAUAGACAACGGAGUAGAGUCGGUACAGGGUGGCCAGGCGGGGGCUGACAUGGACCAGGACAGCGAGAGGCAGGCUGCCUUGGGAACUUCUCAAAGUGGAGCCGGUGGGCUUCCCUGACUGUGGAUGUGGGGCCGGGGGAGAUGGGAAGGAGGGGUCUCGACUCAACCCCAGCUGCUGAGAGGUCAUCGUUGCCACUAAGAUGGGCAAAUUGUGGAUGUGGCAGAUCUGGGGCGUGCGUGGGGGUCUCUUGGGGCCUGACCGAUAUCCACAGAGGUGCUUCCCAGGUGGCUGCGUGGAGCUGUAACUGGGGGUCCCAGCAUCUGCCUAGGAUCCCAAUUCUGGGUGCUACUGGGUGCUGUGGAUAGGAGAUGACCUCGGGAGGGGUGUCACUGACCACCUGAGCACCUGCUGCAGAUUGGCCCUGGAGGGGGCAGUGGUUAUAAUCCAGCGCCUGUCUGCUGGGUUUGUGGUUGGGGAGGCAGAGCCUGCCUUGGUACGCGGUCCUCACCGUGGAAUGAGUGAAAAGGUUCAGGCUGAGAGCGAGGGGCCGUGGAGGGUCAGGGUGGAGGACUCAGAACAGGCUUCAGGGGCCCUGCCCCAGGCCUGGAGGGACAAGCUGUACAUGGCAGGGCCAGGCAGAGGAAGGACAAUCCAGGGAGGAGGAACAGAGUGGGAGAAGGCCCAGAGGAUGUAGGCAAGAGGGGCUGGCUUGGCCCUGGUAAAGAGGCCAGAGGAAGAACUUGGGUGUUGUUCAUGCCCUGCAGCGCAGAACUCUGGGACUUUGGGCAGUUUCUUAACUUUGCUGAGCCCCAGCUGCAAAACGGGAAGGCCCACCUCCUGCAUGGGAUUGCUCUGAGAAAAUGUCAGGGUCCGGUCGUUCAAUUUGGGUGUGACAUGCUCAGCGUGUCAACCUGGGGGCUCUCAGCCCUGCCCAGUGGGCCUCUUUCUGGUGGCCCAGCAAAGAGCAGAGCAUCAAGAGAGCCACCUUGGCAGUGCUGGGCUGCCUCAGGCCAGGCAGACCCGAGGGGUGAGGGGCUUCGAGUGCUCAGAGUCCUGGCUGCCCCUGGUGACCCUGUUCUAUUUUAGGCUCCGUCUCGGCAGACGAGGAAGCUUGUCCCGCUGCCAUGCAGCUAAUGACAGCCUGGAAAACUGGAAAACUCUUAAAACAGCCGUGCUAUUUUGAUCCCCAGGAGGUGGUCGCCACUCCUGCCCAGGCAGCGUGAGCGUGGGUGGUUCUAAGGAGACCAAGGCUCUGAUAGGAAGACGGUCACAGUACAAAUCACAGUCCUGUGACUGCACAGGAUGCGCCCACAGCACUCCCUCACUCCCUGGGUGUCCAGCACCCUCUCUGCGCAGAGCUCUGGGUUUAGGAUAAUUCUACCCUUGCCGUAGGACCCGGAAGGAGCCCCUGUCGCCUCCACCCGAAUCCUCCUCAGGCCCAGUCCUGGCCCAGGCAGGCCUCUGUCCCCGUGGGAGCAGGCCACAGAGGGCGCGGGCUGUGUCCACCGCCAGCUGAGACCUAGAGCUUUCUGUGCCCACAGGACAUUUCUUCUGGGCUUUUUAAUCAAAAAUGGUUUGAAGUGGCUCUUGCCCAGUGGAGCUGUGGGUGGCUUCCUCCCCUUUCUAAGAAAGGGCUUCUAGGUGGGCCCCAGGCCUGGGGUGGCGUCUGGGGAAGGGUAGAGGCAGCCCGAGGCGGGGUGUGCUCACCUCUUCACUGCGCUGUGACGUAGCCGCGUUGGAGGUGGGCGGUGGUCCUGUGGUGGCUGUGGUUUGCGUUUAGGGAAAACAACAUUGUUUUUUUCCUUUUUUGGUCUAUUGCCUGAUUUCUAUGCAAAAUGGACUCUCGAGCACAGGCUCAGUCCAUCCUUAGAACAGCAGGCACGUGUCCCCGCUGCUGCGGCCACUGUCCUUCAGGGAGC
rnacentral:lncRNA from 1 species